rfam:Amphimedon queenslandica AMPQTscaffold_10730_Cont16380, whole genome shotgun sequence.
CAACUGGCUUUUAUUAAAGCCACUCAUAAUGCAGAAGAUUACAGU